AACGAACGCUGGCGGCAGGCUUAACACAUGCAAGUCGAGCGCAUCCUUCGGGGUGAGCCGCGGACGGGUGAGUAACGCGUGGGAACGUGCCCUCUUCUACGGAAUAGCCUCGGGAAACUGAGAGUAAUGCCGUAUACGCCCGCAAGGGGAAAGAUUUAUCGGAGGAGGAUCGGCCCGCGUUGGAUUAGGUAGUUGGUGGGGUAACGGCCUACCAAGCCGACGAUCCAUAGCUGGUUUGAGAGGAUGAUCAGCCACACUGGGACUGAGACACGGCCCAGACUCCUACGGGAGGCAGCAGUGGGGAAUCUUGGACAAUGGGGGCAACCCUGAUCCAGCCAUGCCGCGUGAGCGAUGAAGGCCUUAGGGUUGUAAAGAUCUUUCAGCUGGGAAGAUAAUGACGGUACCAGCAGAAGAAGCCCCGGCUAACUCCGUG
rnacentral:rRNA from 1 species